rnacentral:rRNA from 1 species
GAUGAACGCUGGCGGCGUGCCUAAUACAUGCAAGUCGAGCGAACGGACGAGAAGCUUGCUUCUCUGAUGUUAGCGGCGGACGGGUGAGUAACACGUGGAUAACCUACCUAUAAGACUGGGAUAACUUCGGGAAACCGGAGCUAAUACCGGAUAAUAUUUUGAACCGCAUGGUUCAAAAGUGAAAGACGGUCUUGCUGUCACUUAUAGAUGGAUCCGCGCUGCAUUAGCUAGUUGGUAAGGUAACGGCUUACCAAGGCAACGAUGCAUAGCCGACCUGAGAGGGUGAUCGGCCACACUGGAACUGAGACACGGUCCAGACUCCUACGGGAGGCAGCAGUAGGGAAUCUUCCGCAAUGGGCGAAAGCCUGACGGAGCAACGCCGCGUGAGUGAUGAAGGUCUUCGGAUCGUAAAACUCUGUUAUUAGGGAAGAACAUAUGUGUAAGUAACUGUGCACAUCUUGACGGUACCUAAUCAGAAAGCCACGGCUAACUACGUGCCAGCAGCCGCGGUAAUACGUAGGUGGCAAGCGUUAUCCGGAAUUAUUGGGCGUAAAGCGCGCGUAGGCGGUUUUUUAAGUCUGAUGUGAAAGCCCACGGCUCAACCGUGGAGGGUCAUUGGAAACUGGAAAACUUGAGUGCAGAAGAGGAAAGUGGAAUUCCAUGUGUAGCGGUGAAAUGCGCAGAGAUAUGGAGGAACACCAGUGGCGAAGGCGACUUUCUGGUCUGUAACUGACGCUGAUGUGCGAAAGCGUGGGGAUCAAACAGGAUUAGAUACCCUGGUAGUCCACGCCGUAAACGAUGAGUGCUAAGUGUUAGGGGGUUUCCGCCCCUUAGUGCUGCAGCUAACGCAUUAAGCACUCCGCCUGGGGAGUACGACCGCAAGGUUGAAACUCAAAGGAAUUGACGGGGACCCGCACAAGCGGUGGAGCAUGUGGUUUAAUUCGAAGCAACGCGAAGAACCUUACCAAAUCUUGACAUCCUUUGACAACUCUAGAGAUAGAGCCUUCCCCUUCGGGGGACAAAGUGACAGGUGGUGCAUGGUUGUCGUCAGCUCGUGUCGUGAGAUGUUGGGUUAAGUCCCGCAACGAGCGCAACCCUUAAGCUUAGUUGCCAUCAUUAAGUUGGGCACUCUAAGUUGACUGCCGGUGACAAACCGGAGGAAGGUGGGGAUGACGUCAAAUCAUCAUGCCCCUUAUGAUUUGGGCUACACACGUGCUACAAUGGACAAUACAAAGGGCAGCGAAACCGCGAGGUCAAGCAAAUCCCAUAAAGUUGUUCUCAGUUCGGAUUGUAGUCUGCAACUCGACUACAUGAAGCUGGAAUCGCUAGUAAUCGUAAAUCAGCAUGCUACGGUGAAUACGUUCCCGGGUCU